CCUACGGGCGGCUGCAGUGGGGAAUUUUGCGCAAUGCUCGUAAGAGUGACGCAGCGACGCCGCGUGAAUGACGAAGGCCUUCGGGUCGUAAAGCUCUCUCGACAGGGAAGAAAAUGCCUAUAAGUAACUGUGCACGUAUUGACGGUACCUGUAUAAGCAGCCCCGGCUAACUACGUGCCAGCAGCCGCGGUAAUACGGAGGGGGCGAGCGUUGUUCGGAGUGACUGGGCGUAAAGAGCACGUAGGCGGUGUUGUAAGUCAUUAGUCAAAGACUAGAGCUUAACUUUAGUAAGGCUAGUGAUACUAGAAGACUAGAGUAUCAGAGAGGAUUGCAGAAUUCCUGGUGUAGCGGUGAAAUGCGUAGAUAUAAGGAGGAAUACCAUUAGCGAAGGCGGCAAUCUGGCUGGAAACUGACGCUGAGGUGCGAAAGCGUGGGUAGCAAACAGGAUUAGAUACCCCAGUAGUC
rnacentral:rRNA from 1 species